rnacentral:rRNA from 1 species
GACGAACGCUGGCGGCGUGCCUAAUACAUGCAAGUCGAACGCAUUUUCUUUCACCGUAGCUUGCUACACCGAAAGAAAAUGAGUGGCGAACGGGUGAGUAACACGUUGGUAACCUGCCCAGCAGCGGGGGAUAACACUUGGAAACAGGUGCUAAUACCGCAUAAUUCCAUUUACCGCAUGGUAGAUGGGUGAAAGGCGCUUUUGCGUCACGGAUGGAUGGACCCGCGGUGCAUUAGCGAGUUGGUGGGGUAACGGCCUACCAAGGCUGCGAUGCAUAGCCGGCCUGAGAGGGUGGGUGGCCAGACUGGGACGGAGAGACGGCCCAGACUCCUACGGGAGGGAGCAGUAGGGAAUCUUCGGCGAUGGACGCAAGUCUGACCGAGCAACGCCGCGUGAGUGAAGAAGGUUGUCGGAUCGUAAAACUCUGUUGUUAGAGAAGAAAAAGGAUGAGAGUGGAAAGUUCAUCCCUUGACGGUAUCUAAACAGAAAGCCACGGCUAACUACGUG